AACGAACGCUGGCGGCGUGGAUAAGACAUGCAAGUCGAACGGGAUAUUUUUGUAGCAAUACCGAAAUAUUCAGUGGCGAACGGGUGCGUAACACGUGGGUAACAUGCCGGGAAGAGGAGAAUAGCCCAGGGAAACUUGGAUUAAUGCUCCAUGUGGUCGCGAGACUAAAGACGGGGUAACCUGUCGCUUCCUUAUUGGCCCGCGGCCUAUCAGCUAGUUGGUGAGGUAACGGCUCACCAAGGCGACGACGGGUAGCUGGUCUGAGAGGAUGACCAGCCACACUGGAACUGAGACACGGUCCAGACACCUACGGGUGGCAGCAGUCGAGAAUCUUUCACAAUGGGGGCAACCCUGAUGGAGCGACGCCGCGUGGAGGAUAAGGUCUUCGGAUUGUAAACUCCUGUCAUGCGAGGGUAAGGCCCAUGCGUUAACUGCGCGUGGGAUUGACAGUACCGCAAGAGGAAGAGACGGCUAACUCUGUGCCAGCAGCCGCAGUAAUAC
rnacentral:rRNA from 1 species